rnacentral:rRNA from 1 species
CCUAACCGUGCAAAGGUAGCACAAUCACUUGUUCUUUAAAUCAGGACUAGUAUGAAUGGCCCCACGAGAGCUAUACUGUCUCCCUGCUUCAAUCAGUGAAACUGAUCCCCUCGUGAAGAAGCGAGGAUUAUUUUAUAAGACGAGAAGACCCCAUGGAACUUUAAACUAGUACCACCUCUUAUUACCAACAUGACUACUAGUCUUUCGGCUGGGGCGACCACGGAGAAAAACAAAACCCCCGAGAUGAAAGGAAACAUCCUUACCCAAGAAUUACUAUUCCAAGAAUCAAUAAAUGACAUCAUUGACCCAACAUUUGAUCAACGAACCAAGCUACCCUGGGGAUAACAGCGCAAUCCAUUUCAAGAGACCUCAUCAACAAAUGGGCUUACGACCUCGAUGUUGGAUCAGGGAAUCCUAGUGGUGUAGCCGCUACCAAAGGUUCGUUUGUUCAACGAUUAAAACCCUACGUGAUCUGAGUU